AGCGAACGCUGGCGGUAGGCUUAACACAUGCAAGUCGAACGCCCCGCAAGGGGAGUGGCAGACGGGUGAGUAACACGUGGGAACGUACCCUUUGGUUCGGAAUAACUUGGGGAAACUCAAGCUAAUACCGGAUAAGCCCUUAUGGGGAAAGGUUUACUGCCGAAGGAUCGGCCCGCGUCUGAUUAGCUAGUUGGUGAGGUAAUGGCUCACCAAGUCGACGAUCAGUAGCUGGUCUGAGAGGAUGAUCAGCCACACUGGGACUGAGACACGGCCCAGACUCCUACGGGAGGCAGCAGUGGGGAAUAUUGGACAAUGGGGGCAACCCUGAUCCAGCCAUGCCGCGUGAGUGAUGAAGGCCUUAGGGUUGUAAAGCUCUUUUACCCGGGACGAUAAUGACUGUACCGGGAGAAUAAGCCCCGGCUAACUUCGUGCCAGCCGCCGCCGUAA
rnacentral:rRNA from 1 species